GAUGAACGCUAGCGGCAGGCUUAAUACAUGCAAGUCGUGGGGCAGCAGGGUUGUAGCAAUACAAUCGCUGGCGACCGGCAAACGGGUGCGUAACACGUACGCAACCUUCCCGUUACUGUGGCAUAGCCCAGGGAAACUUGGAUUAAUACCACAUAUUAUAUUGGUGAGGCAUCUCAUUGAUAUCAAAGCUUCGGCGGUAACGGAUGGGCGUGCGGUUGAUUAGGUAGUUGGCGGGGUAACGGCCCACCAAGCCUACGAUCAAUAGCUGAUGUGAGAGCAUGAUCAGCAACCCGGGCACUGAGACACGGGCCCGACUCCUACGGGAGGCAGCAGUAAGGAAUAUUGGGCAAUGGACGAAAGUCUGACCCAGCCAUGCCGCGUGAAGGAUUAAGGUCCUCUGGAUUGUAAACUUCUUUUCUCUGGGGCGAAAACCAGCUAUUCUUAGCUAUUUGACAGUACCAGAGGAAUAAGCACCGGCUAACUCCGUGCCAGCAGCCGCCGUAACAC
rnacentral:rRNA from 1 species